UUUCAUCUUGCUAAGGAUCUAUGCCCCAGUAUAGGGGAAUGCCAGGGCCAGGAAGUGGGAGUGGGUGGGUUGGGGAGCAGUGGAGGGGGAGAGGAUGGGGGUUGUCAGAGGAGAAACUAGGAAAGGUAAUGUAAAUAAAGAAUUGUAAAAAAAGAAAUAUGAAAAUAAAGAAAGAAAAGAAAAGAAAAAAAAAAGAACUGAAGUCAUUAAACCAGCUUCACACCCCUUCACCUGCCAGCUGUUUUGCCAGUGCCAUGUUCACAAUAACCUUAGCUCCUCACUUUUUUAAAACUGUGAACAUCAAUACAAAUCUCAAAUUCUACCUAUAAAUAUAAUACUCAUGUUUUCUUCAGGCUACCUUUAAUUCCGUCCUGUCUGCAACUAAUAAAACAAUAUGCAAUGAGUGUAUUGUAGGCUACUAUUUUAUAUUAAUAAUAACGUGGUGGAGGAAGUGCUAGUUAUCUUAUGACAUAUUUGCACUCACGAAUCUAAGUCAUUCUCCACUUUUAGUGUUAUUCUCUUCCAUAAGUUUCAACAGUAAGUUUUCAUCAGUUAUGGUGAGUAUUGAUAUGAGGAAAGUGUCCCUUGCCUUCUAAAUUGGAUAAUUACAGUUCCAAUAACCUGGUCUAAAUAUAAAUAUUCUAUUACCCAUGAAAACAUUAUGUUUUGACAUGGUUUUGUUUCAUGUGUGCCCAUAAGUGCACUUGAACUAGCUUCAGUUAGUUGUAAAGUUGGUAUUUGCUGCCAUUAAUUAGAUCAAGAACUAAGUCCUGACAGAUUAGAAUCUCCUUCAUGCCAUAGUGGUAGUUAAUGGCUAUUAUAAAGACCUAUUGGUUAAUUAUGUCAAGGAGUGGUUAGGUCUGUAUGCAUUUAAUUGGGCGUUACUGAAUUAUAAAUCUCAGCUGAAUACUGAUAGUAAUUUCACUAACUGUAUACAGGAACUUUCCUAGCCUCCAGUUUGUUUGAUGAUAGCUGAAGUACUCAAGACAUCUUAAUGUGGGAGCUUAGAGAAGACUUCUCCUCACACUUUAUUCUAUUAAUAUUUUUUUUCUUUGCUUUGUUUUGAUUUUCUGGGAGUUUCAUCAUGUGCUGCUAUCUAGCCUAGAAUGCCUCCUGCCUCUUCCUCUCAAGUGCUUGUCCAACAGGCAUCUGCCAGCACACAUGUCAUGCAGGACAUAUUGUCUAGCACAUUGGCUUCCUCUAAGAAAUCUCAGAUGAGAUUAAGGAAAUAUAUUUUUAGUUAAACAAUAGAGGAGAGUCAGAAAAAUGGCUGAGUGAGGAGAGAAGGGACUCAUGAGAGUUGUCCUCUCUCUGACACAUGUGGGCACAUGGGCAUGUGCACCCAAUUGUUUACAUGAACACACACACACACACCAUAAUCAUAAUCAAUAGAAAAAAAUUAAAAGUAGCAGACACUUUCUACAUUCUCAGACUGAAUUUAUCUCUUUCUGGUUGGAAAAGGAAACUUUUAAUUCACAUCCUAAUCUUCCCAACUCGCGGACCCAUCUCACUACUCCCCAAGGAGAAGGUUUUUCCUUUCCUACAUUGUUGCUCUCCUCAUUCUCAGUUGUCAGUUGAGAAUCCAUGCCUUCAUUUGGUUGCAGGUCUUUGACAUGGGGUGCUUUAUUAGACCAUUUUGUUCAUCCAACUUGUACCUAUUAU
rnacentral:lncRNA from 1 species